rnacentral:rRNA from 1 species
ACUUAAAUUGAAGAGUUUGAUCAUGGCUCAGAUUGAACGCUGGCGGCAGGCCUAACACAUGCAAGUCGAGCGGUAGCACAGAGAGCUUGCUCUCGGGUGACGAGCGGCGGACGGGUGAGUAAUGUCUGGGAAACUGCCUGAUGGAGGGGGAUAACUACUGGAAACGGUAGCUAAUACCGCAUAACGUCGCAAGACCAAAGUGGGGGACCUUCGGGCCUCAUGCCAUCAGAUGUGCCCAGAUGGGAUUAGCUGGUAGGUGGGGUAACGGCUCACCUAGGCGACGAUCCCUAGCUGGUCUGAGAGGAUGACCAGCCACACUGGAACUGAGACACGGUCCAGACUCCUACGGGAGGCAGCAGUGGGGAAUAUUGCACAAUGGGCGCAAGCCUGAUGCAGCCAUGCCGCGUGUGUGAAGAAGGCCUUCGGGUUGUAAAGCACUUUCAGCGGGGAGGAAGGCGGUGAGGUUAAUAACCUCACCGAUUGACGUUACCCGCAGAAGAAGCACCGGCUAACUCCGUGCCAGCAGCCGCGGUAAUACGGAGGGUGCAAGCGUUAAUCGGAAUUACUGGGCGUAAAGCGCACGCAGGCGGUCUGUCAAGUCGGAUGUGAAAUCCCCGGGCUCAACCUGGGAACUGCAUUCGAAACUGGCAGGCUAGAGUCUUGUAGAGGGGGGUAGAAUUCCAGGUGUAGCGGUGAAAUGCGUAGAGAUCUGGAGGAAUACCGGUGGCGAAGGCGGCCCCCUGGACAAAGACUGACGCUCAGGUGCGAAAGCGUGGGGAGCAAACAGGAUUAGAUACCCUGGUAGUCCACGCUGUAAACGAUGUCGAUUUGGAGGUUGUGCCCUUGAGGCGUGGCUUCCGGAGCUAACGCGUUAAAUCGACCGCCUGGGGAGUACGGCCGCAAGGUUAAAACUCAAAUGAAUUGACGGGGGCCCGCACAAGCGGUGGAGCAUGUGGUUUAAUUCGAUGCAACGCGAAGAACCUUACCUGGUCUUGACAUCCACAGAACUUUCCAGAGAUGGAUUGGUGCCUUCGGGAACUGUGAGACAGGUGCUGCAUGGCUGUCGUCAGCUCGUGUUGUGAAAUGUUGGGUUAAGUCCCGCAACGAGCGCAACCCUUAUCCUUUGUUGCCAGCGGUUAGGCCGGGAACUCAAAGGAGACUGCCAGUGAUAAACUGGAGGAAGGUGGGGAUGACGUCAAGUCAUCAUGGCCCUUACGACCAGGGCUACACACGUGCUACAAUGGCAUAUACAAAGAGAAGCGACCUCGCGAGAGCAAGCGGACCUCAUAAAGUAUGUCGUAGUCCGGAUUGGAGUCUGCAACUCGACUCCAUGAAGUCGGAAUCGCUAGUAAUCGUAGAUCAGAAUGCUACGGUGAAUACGUUCCCGGGCCUUGUACACACCGCCCGUCACACCAUGGGAGUGGGUUGCAAAAGAAGUAGGUAGCUUAACCUUCGGGAGGGCGCUUACCACUUUGUGAUUCAUGACUGGGGUGAAGUCGUAACAAGGUAACCGUAGGGGAACCUGCGGUUGGAUCACCUCCUUACCUUAAAGAA